AACCGCGGUUAUACGAAAGGCCUAAGUUGAUGAACUACGGCGUAAAGAGUGGUUAGGCCUUAUUCUACUAAAGCUAUACCCGCUCCUGGUUGUUUAAAACCUAUGAGACUGAGAAACACAACUACGAAAGUGACUUUACCCCUCUGACCCCACGAAAGCUAGGACA
rnacentral:rRNA from 1 species